rnacentral:lncRNA from 1 species
AUUUGAAAUACAGUUGUAUCUUGAUGGAAAUUUUCACAACUAGGAAUCAGUAAGUCUCAACUUGAGUUGAAGAACAAAUCCAAAUCCUUCUGAAAGUAUAUGGGAAGCAUUUCUGUUGUGAGUGUCUUGUACACAUUUAUGUGUUCAUGGGCUUCUGCCGUGGACCGAGCACUGUGUGCUGAGUGCUUGAGACCCAGAAGUGAACCCUGUGGACAGAAGUACCAGCUGGAGCGUGUGUGGUGUUGGAAGCAGGGAAGGACAGAGGCCGCUGCCCUGGCCUAGGAGCCCCCACCCCUAGAAACACGGCCAAUGGCUUUGGCCUUGGAAGAAUGGAAACGUGGCGGGCUCAUGAAGGCUGUCCUGCCCGCCCACACACAGAAGGAAGAGCAGGAUUAUGUGACAGAUUCCCGGAAAAGAUCCUGGUGGUGCCAUACAGCUCCUGCCGUCAGCAGGAAGGCAGAAGCAGAGUUCAGUGUUCCGGUGUGCAGGAAGCAGUGACAGCAGAGACUUUGCUGGUGGCAGUCGUUCUGUGGGAGUCUCCCCAGGUGGGCAGCGAGCUCAGAGUGCACAGGAGGAAUCAUGGCUCAAGACAGCUGAGAAGUCCGACUGGAGAGUGCAGAACAAACUCCCACCUCCGUUCUCAAACUCACCAGGUGCCCAAGAGAUGGCAUCUGAGUUUGCCUGUUUCCUGCCUUCAGAUACUUUUUAUGAAGUGUGGUGUACGCAUUUGA